rnacentral:lncRNA from 1 species
AUUUUAUGAAUUGACUCCAUAUCUCAUAUAAAAUUUUAAAAAAAUAAAAAUAAAAAAAAUAAUAUCAAAAAAUAAUUAUAAUCUACAUUCUCUCUCUUUAAUGACUCACAUGCCUUACCUUUCUCUUCCUCUCUUCUUCUCUUAUAUCAAUUUGAUCUCUCUCUCCCCCCUUUCUCUUUCUUUAUUAAUUACUUCUUUAUUUACCUUUUAAUAUCUCACUCCAAUCCUAUCUUAAACCGUACAUUAAUUUAUUUUUUAUACCCUAAAAGAACCACAUCAAAAAAUAAAAUAAGUAAUUAUAAUCUACCUUUUUUCUCUUUUUAAUGACUCACAUAUCUCACCUCUUUCUCGCUCUCUCAUGCCACUUUGACCUCUCUCCCCUUCUCUCAUUCUUUCUCUUUUUUUACUUAUUACUUCUCUAUCUACC